AGCGCGCUGCUGAUGAGUGCAGCCACACACGCAUACGCUUCAUAUCCCUUUCUUCGUUCCUGAGCCCUUCGUGGCGCUCUCUUAGAGACCCACCCUCCUCCCGUGUUCGAGUGCGUCUGUGUGCCACCCCAAUGCUGCUCUCUUCACCGGUGGCGCGUGCAGCGCAGAAGGCGCCGGUGACCGCAGGCUUAUUGGUGUUCAUGUGUCUCAUGCUGCUGCUGAGCUCUUCCAAAGAUUUGACGUGCAUGCAUAGCGCCCUCUAUGAGCUGUUUCCGUGGCGGUUCGUCACGUACCCGCUUGCGAUGACGACGCGGCAGCCCUGGCGUGUCGCCGUGAACACCGCUGUUGUCCUCGCCGGGGCGUCUGCUGAGGCAUCCACAGGCAGCAGCGAGUACGCCACCUUCCUGCUCUUCACCGCCGUGGCGACAGGCGUUCUGGUGCUCCUCACAGACCUCGUCAUGUUCGAUCCGCUACGGCUUGCUGUUUGGGGCGGCAACGACAGCCACAACCGGCCGUACGGUUACACGGGCGUGUGGCCGGUGGCGGAGGUGGUUGGGUUCUCUCUGUGCCGCGUGCGGGGGGUGUCGGCGUUGGUCGGUCCGCGACUGCGCUGCGGUCAGCUGACGCUCCAACGACUCCCACUCGCUAUUGUCUGGGCCGCCUUCGGCUGUGAUGUGGUCUCGCUGGUGGUGGGCCGCAGUGCUGAGGAUUAUAAUGAGCACCGUGAAGGUUGGCAGGUUAUGGUGGCGUCCAUCGCCUUGCUUGUGAGCUGGCUGUACGAACGCCGCGUCACCGGAGCUGCGAACAGCGCCUUCGCCUUAGAAGCCUUCAUGUAUCCGGACCCGCUCAGGGAUGGCGCGCGCUGGGUGUGCGGACGCGUGCAGAGGCGUCUGCAAGCGUCGCCACUGCGCUUUCUACUUCCACCUGAGGGAGGAGUCGGUGGUGGGGCGGCAGCACUGCCCACGCCGUUGUUCUCCCGCGCCGCCGUGGGAAACGCCUUUCCUGGCAGCCCAAACACCGCGACAACGACGACGACCACGGCGCUACUGCCCGGUACAACCGCAGAGGAGGCGGAAAGGCACCGCCUCAUCGCACGAGAGGCCCUCGCCCGCCGACUUCAGCAGCAGCAGUCAAGUGCAUCUACGCCAUCCGCUGCGGAGGCGGUCGACUUGGCGACGAAGACAGCGUAGCGGCCCCUGACUGCACGCCGACGUUGUUUGGCUGGACAGGGAGGGAAGAGGCGGAGGCGCCGAUGGCGGCGGCAAUGUCGGGCACCUGACGUGGUGUGCCUUCUCUCAUGGCAGAACGCGCCUGGAGCUGUUGCGCCUUCGCAUCUCCUCCUCCUCCUGGCUCCUUGAUAUUAGUGAGCCGCGUGCUGCAUCUACCCUCGGCACACACGAAGCGAUUCGCACAUGAGGCUCACACGCGUGCGCGCCUCUGUCUGCCUGUCUGUCUGCGCAUGUGAGUGAGGGACGAGACGAAGAGACUUGCACAGAACGUCUUAGUCGCCCUCCCCUCCCCCACCUUCUCCAUCUUCUUCUCGUGAAACCCGUGACGCUCUCACCGACCGCUUCCUUCGCUCUGCGUG
rnacentral:misc_RNA from 1 species